rnacentral:lncRNA from 1 species
CAUAACACAUAUUCGAAACGGCAAACAGUUGAGACGCUGGGCUUUACUAGCAUUCACAAGGACUGUAAUCAGGUCAGGCCCGAAUUUGAAUUAUCAUCAUGGGCUUGAAAUCCAAAACUCACACGAAGGUGCGUGUGCCUCACAACAAGACACGCGAACCACAGACGUUCGCGUCAUUUCACCACGAAAUGCGAAAUGUUGCCGCCAACUUUACUACUUUCCC